CCUACGGGUGGCAGCAGUGAGGAAUAUUGGUCAAUGGCCGAGAGGCUGAACCAGCCAAGUCGCGUGAGGGAUGACGGCCCUACGGGUUGUAAACCUCUUUUGCCGGGGAGCAAAGAGCGGGACGCGUCCCGCUCCGAGAGUACCCGGAGAAAAAGCAUCGGCUAACUCCGUGCCAGCAGCCGCGGUAAUACGGAGGAUGCGAGCGUUAUCCGGAUUUAUUGGGUUUAAGGGGUGCGCAGGCGGAAGCGCAAGUCAGCGGUAAAAUUGAGAGGCUCAACCUCUUCCAGCCGUUGAAACUGGUGUUCUUGAGUGGGCGAGAAGUACGCGGAAUGCGUGGUGUAGCGGUGAAAUGCAUAGAUAUCACGCAGAACUCCGAUUGCGAAGGCAGCGUACCGGCGCCCAACUGACGCUCAUGCACGAAAGCGUGGGUAUCGAACAGGAUUAGAUACCCGUGUAGUC
rnacentral:rRNA from 1 species